rnacentral:rRNA from 1 species
CUGGCUCAGAACGAACGCUGGCGGCGUGCUUAACACAUGCAAGUCGAACGCGAAAGGGACUUCGGUCCUGAGUAAAGUGGCGCACGGGUGAGUAACGCGUAGAUAACCUGUCUUCAUGUCUGGAAUAAUACGCCGAAAGGGGUACUAAUACCGGAUAUUCUUGCUUUUCAUAAGUUAUGCAAGGCAAAGGUGGCCUCUGCAUAUGCUACUGCAUGAAGAGGGGUCUGCGUACCAUUAGCUAGUAGGUGGGGUAAUGGCCUACCUAGGCGACGAUGGUUAGCGGGUCUGAGAGGAUGAUCCGCCACACUGGCACUGGAACACGGGCCAGACUCCUACGGGAGGCAGCAGUGAGGAAUAUUGCGCAAUGGGGGAAACCCUGACGCAGCGACGCCGCGUGAGUGAGGAAGGCCUUCGGGUCGUAAAGCUCUGUCAAGAGGAAAGAAGUGUACAAUGGCUAAUACCUGUUGUAUUUGACGGUACCUCUAAAGGAAGCACCGGCUAACUCCGUGCCAGCCGCCGC